AUGGCGGCUCAGGCUGAGACCAUCGAGGUACCCUCGGACGCUGAGCUGCUGCAGGCACAGGCAGACCUGUGGCGCCACAGCCUCUAUUACCUCACCUCAAUGGCGCUCCGGUGCGCCGUCGAGCAUGAGAUCCCGACGGCCAUCCACCGCCUCGGCGGGCUCGCCUCGCUGCCCGACCUGAUGACGGCGCUGUCUCUUCCCUCGGUCAAGAUGCCGUUCCUCGGCCGGGUCAUGCGCGUGCUCGUCAACUCGGGCGUCUUCGCAACCGACAACGACUCGGAGUCUGGCGUGGAGCUCUAUCGCCUCACCCCGCUGUCCCGUGUUCUGGUGCACGGCGUGGUGGCGGACGAGCACCAUAGCCAAAAGUAUUUCGUGCUUGGUGUCACCUCGCCGCACUACACGGAGGCGGCGCUGGGGCUGGCCGACUGGUUCAAGAAGGACACCGAGCCACCGGUGCAGUCACCUUUUGAGGAGAAGUUCGGUGUGCCACUCUUUGAUGAGAAAACUGCGCUCCUUGACGAAGAGCUCGACGCCGUUGUUAACAAAGGCCUGGCGACAUCUUCAAGGGGCUUGAGUCUCUCACUGACUGCUGCGGUGGCGAUGGUGAUCGACAAAGCCCCAACCGAUGGUGUCAUCAACUAUGUUGCAGGUGACCUGUUCCACACCGUCCCACCAUCUCAAGCCGUGAUGCUCAAACUUGUGCUACACUUUUGGAGUGACGAGGAUUGUGUGAAAAUCCUAGCCCAGUGCAGAAAGGCCAUUCCUCCUCGUGAGGAGGGAGGAAAGGUGAUAAUCAUAGAGAUUGUGGUUGCACCUUCCUUAGGGCCAGUAAUGUUUGAAGCCCAACUCCUGAUGGAUAUGCUCAUGAUGGUGAACACGAGAGGUGGCCAACGCGAUGAAAAACACUGGUCUGAGCUAUUCAAGAAAGCCGGAUUCACAGACUACAAAAUUGUGAAGAAAUUGGGAGCUCGAUCCGUCAUCGAGGUCUAUCCGUAA
rnacentral:rRNA from 1 species